rnacentral:rRNA from 1 species
AUACGGAGGGUGCAAGCGUUAAUCGGAAUUACUGGGCGUAAAGCGUGCGUAGGUGGUUUGUUAAGUCAGAUGUGAAAGCCCUGGGCUCAACCUGGGAACUGCAUUUGAAACUGGCAUACUAGAGUAUAGGAGAGGAAAGUGGAAUUUCAGGUGUAGCGGUGAAAUGCGUAGAUAUCUGAAGGAACAUCAAUGGCGAAGGCAGCUUUCUGGACUAAUACUGACACUGAGGUACGAAAGCGUGGGUAGCAAACAGGAUUAGAAACCCUAGUAGUCC